rnacentral:rRNA from 1 species
AGCGUAAUAGCUCACUGGUCGAGCGAGCCCGCGCCGAAAAUAUAACGGGGCUCAAGUACGGUGCCGAAGCUUCGGGUUCAGUUCUACUAGUUAGAGCGGAGCGGUAGCGGAGCAUUCUCAGGCAGAUACAAGGUCUACCGUAAGGAGGGCUGUUGGGUCUGAGAAGAGCUUAUGCAGGCAUGAGUAGCGAUAAACAGGAUGAGAAAUCCUGUCGCCGUAAGCCCAAGGUUUCCUGGGGAAGGAUCAUCCUCCCAUGGGUUAGUCGGUCCCUAAGCCGAGGCCGAAAGGCGUAGGCGAUGGAAAGCUGGUUAAUAUUCCAGCACCAUUGAGGACAGCGUUGAAGCGAGCAGGGACGAAGAAGGGUAUGCCGAGCCAGGCGUUUGGUCGUCCUGGUUCAAGCAAGUAGGCGGAUUUCGUAGGAGUCGAUAGACACAAACGCGAGAUCAACGCCGAGAUGUGAUGAGGCCAGCCUUCGGGCUGGAAACUCGGUGAUCCCAUGCUUCCGAGAAAAGCUGCGCGCAGAGCUCCCUCAGUGACCGUACCGCAAACCAACUCAGGUGGGCGGGGUGAGUAUCCCAAGGCGCGUGAGAGAACACUGGCUAAGGAACUCGGCAAAAUAGCACCGUAACUUCGGGAGAAGGUGUGCCUGGCGGAGUGACGGACCUCGCGUCCCGAGCUCUGUUGGGUCGCAGUGAAUAGGGGGUUGCGACUGUUUACUAAAAACAUAGGACUCUGCGAAAUCGUAAGAUGACGUAUAGGGUCUGACGCCUGCCCGGUGCCGGAAGG